rnacentral:rRNA from 1 species
UUGGAUCCAGACUUUGAUUAUGGCUCAGGAUGAACGCUAGCUACAGGCUUAACACAUGCAAGUCGAGGGGAAACGACAUCGAAAGCUUGCUUUUGAUGGGCGUCGACCGGCGCACGGGUGAGUAACGCGUAUCCAACCUGCCCACCACUUGGGGAUAACCUUGCGAAAGUAAGACUAAUACCCAAUGAUAUCUCUAGAAGACAUCUGAAAGAGAUUAAAGAUUUAUCGGUGAUGGAUGGGGAUGCGUCUGAUUAGCUUGUUGGCGGGGUAACGGCCCACCAAGGCAACGAUCAGUAGGGGUUCUGAGAGGAAGGUCCCCCACAUUGGAACUGAGACACGGUCCAAACUCCUACGGGAGGCAGCAGUGAGGAAUAUUGGUCAAUGGACGAGAGUCUGAACCAGCCAAGUAGCGUGCAGGAUGACGGCCCUAUGGGUUGUAAACUGCUUUUAUAAGGGAAUAAAGUGAGUCUCGUGAGACUUUUUGCAUGUACCUUAUGAAUAAGGACCGGCUAAUUCCGUGCCAGCAGCCGCGGUAAUACGGAAGGUCCGGGCGUUAUCCGGAUUUAUUGGGUUUAAAGGGAGCGUAGGCCGGAGAUUAAGCGUGUUGUGAAAUGUAGACGCUCAGCGUCUGCACUGCAGCGCGAACUGGUUUCCUUGAGUACGCACAAAGUGGGCGGAAUUCGUGGUGUAGCGGUGAAAUGCUUAGAUAUCACGAAGAACUCCGAUUGCGAAGGCAGCUCACUGGAGCGCAACUGACGCUGAAGCUCGAAAGUGCGGGUAUCGAACAGGAUUAGAUACCCUGGUAGUCCGCACGGUAAACGAUGGAUGCCCGCUGUUGGUCUGAAUAGGUCAGCGGCCAAGCGAAAGCAUUAAGCAUCCCACCUGGGGAGUACGCCGGCAACGGUGCAACUCAAAGGAAUUGACGGA